ACGGAAGGUGCAAGCGUUAGUCGGAAUUACUGGGCGUAAAGGGUGCGUAGGCGGUUAUAUAAGUCGUUUGUGAAAUUCCGGGGCUUAACUUCGGAGCUGCAAUCGAAACUAUAUAACUAGAGGAAAGGCGGAGAAAAUGGAAUUCCAUAUGUAGCGGUGAAAUGCGUAGAUAUAUGGAAGAACACCUGUGGCGAAAGCGGUUUUCUAGCUUAAUCCUGACGCUGAGGCACGAAAGCAAGGGGAGCAAACAG
rnacentral:rRNA from 1 species